UAACCGCAAAUUAGAAAAUUUACCAACAAUUUUCCACUCGACUGUGUUGACGAUCCAAGAUGUGUUUUUGAUUACAAUAAUUAAUGGCGACAGUUGUAUAAAAAAGACGGGUCGCGUCGUGUCGAUAUAUCCAUCAAUUUGUUUCUUGACAGUUUCAGGAAAUCGGUGACGUCAUGGUUCUGUCAGCUGGAAAACUUUUAGCAUGUUUGGUGUUAGUGGCUGUAGUUACCGUUCAUGUAAAUGGUAUGUGGGCGAUGUUUAUGCAGAGUAUUGACUUGGAUAACGACGGCGUGUUAAAAGGCGAGGCGGAGAUGGCGAAACUAAAAGAAUCUUUGGUGAAAACUGGUGAAACUGCUGAGAGUGCUCAACAAGCAAUAGAUAGUGCUGACACUAACUUUGAUGGCGAAAUCGACGCUGAUGAAUAUGGCGAGUUGAGGACGAAUUUAUUGUAAUUCCUCAGAAAUAAAAUAUAUAACUCUA